GGUUUCACCUGAAUUUGGAAGUCCAGCUUAGGCUGGCUUCAGCUUCUUCAAGAACUGUUUUCUUAGGUUUACCUCACUCUCCAUCAAUACGAACGUAUUUCCCACACUAUAAUUUGUUGGGUGUUAAAUCCUUGCAAAGAUGUAAGAGAAUAUAAUUUCUGAAUCUGUGCUUGUGAAGUGAAGUUUAUCUCAAUCCAUUUGUCAAUUGAGCGUGAAAAUCCCUGGCUGGCAGAGGGUUGUUUAGUUGACCAGCGGGCUAGUUUGUUUAUUUUUGGUUGGUGAUUUUCUUCAUAUUUUCAAGUAUGACACAAACCCCAGGGACAGGUCCCAUUGCUCAUAACGUUUAAAAAUGAAAUCUGAGGAUUGUUACGGCUUGAAUUGUGCCCCCCAUAAACGCUCUUUUGUUGAAGUCCUAAUCCCUAGUAAUCUCAGAAUAUUAUCUUAUUUGGAAUAGGGUCACCGCAGGCAUAAUUAGUUAAGAUGAAGUCAUACUGGAUUAGAGCACGCCCUUAAUCCAGUAUGACUGGUAUCAUUCUAAAAAGGGAAAAUUUGGACACACACAUGAAGAAUGCCAUGUAAAGAUGAAGGCAGAGAUCUACAAGGCAAGAAACACUGAAGAUUGCUAACAAACCACCAGAAGUUAGGAGAGAGUCCUGGACAGAUUCUCCCUCGUAGCCUCCAGAAAGAACUAACCCUGCUGACACUUUGAUUUUGACUUCCAGCUUCUGAAACUGUGAGAUAAUAAACUUCUGUUAUUCUAAGUGA